rnacentral:pre_miRNA from 1 species
UCUAAAACUCGAGAUAUGGGCUGAACAUUGAACAGUAUUUGGGCUGCAAGAUAGAUUUUGACUUCUCUUUUGUUGCUACAAUUUGAACUUGAAAAUAGUCGUUUUGAAUCUUGGACUCUCCAUAAAAGUUUUAGGUUUGUGUCUUAGCUUUCCAUC